UACGUAGGGAGCGAGCGUUGUCCGGAUUUAUUGGGCGUAAAGAGCGCGUAGGCGGCUUGGUAAGCCGGAUGUGAAACCCCCGAGCUCAACUCGGGGCGGCCAUUCGGAACUGCCAUGGCUAGAGUCUGGUAGGGGAACACGGAAUUCCUGGUGUAGCGGUGAAAUGCUUAGAUAUCAGGAGGAACACCAGUGGCGAAGGCGGUGUUCUGGGCCAGUACUGACGCUGAGGCGCGAAAGCGUGGGAGCGAACAGG
rnacentral:rRNA from 1 species